AUUGAACGCUGGCGGCAGGCCUAACACAUGCAAGUCGAACGGUAACAGGAAGCAGCUUGCUGCUUCGCUGACGAGUGGCGGACGGGUGAGUAAUGUCUGGGAAGCUGCCUGAUGGAGGGGGAUAACUACUGGAAACGGUAGCUAAUACCGCAUAAUGUCGCAGGACCAAAGAGGGGGACCUUCGGGCCUCUUGCCAUCGGAUGUGCCCAGAUGGGAUUAGCUUGUUGGUGGGGUAACGGCUCACCAAGGCGACGAUCCCUAGCUGGUCUGAGAGGAUGACCAGCCACACUGGAACUGAGACACGGUCCAGACUCCUACGGGAGGCAGCAGUGGGGAAUAUUGCACAAAGGGCGCAAGCCUGAUGCAGCCAUGCCGCGUGUAUGAAGAAGGCCUUCGGGUUGUAAAGUACUUUCAGCGGGGAGGAAGGGAGUAAAGUUAAUACCUUUGCUCAUUGACGUUACCCGCAGAAGAAGCACCGGCUAACUCCGUG
rnacentral:rRNA from 1 species